AACAAACGCUGGCGGCGUGUCUUAAGCAUGCAAGUUGAGCGGCAAGGAGGAGAGAUCCUCCCUAGAGCGGCGGACUGGUGAGUAACGCGUGGGUAAUCUAUCGUAGGCAUGGGGAUAGUCACUAGAAAUAGUGGGUAAUACCGAAUACGUUCCAUGAGGGGAGUAUUCAUGGAAGAAAGGGUGCUACGGCACUGGCCUUAGGUGAGCUCGCGUCCCAUUAGCUAGUUGGUGAGGUAAAGGCCCACCAAGGCGAUGAUGGGUAGCCGGCCUGAGAGGGUGUACGGCCACACUGGGACUGAGAUACGGCCCAGACUCCUACGGGAGGCAGCAGCUAAGAAUAUUCCGCAAUGGACGAAAGUCUGACGGAGCGACGCCGCGUGGAUGAAGAAGGCCGAAAGGUUGUAAAGUUCUUUUGCUAGGGGAGAAUAAGUGAGGGAGGGAAUGCCCUCAUGAUGACAAGGACUAGCGAAUAAGCCCCGGCAACUACGUGCCAGCAGCCG
rnacentral:rRNA from 1 species